GUCUCUGUGGCAUAGUGGUCUGAGAGUUGGACUACGACUCUGGAGACCAGGGUUCAAAUCCCUGUUCAGCCA
rnacentral:tRNA from 1 species